rnacentral:rRNA from 1 species
GUGUAUUGGACUACCAUGGUCUUAACGGGUGACGGAGAAUUAGGGUUCGAUUCCGGAGAGGGAGCCUGAGAGACGGCUACCACUUCCAAGGAAGGCAGCAGGCGCGCAAAUUACCCAAUCCCGAUACGGGGAGGUAGUGACAAUAAAUAACAAUACGGGCCAUUUUCAAUGUCUCGUAAUUGGAAUGAGUACAAUCCAAACACCUUAACGAGGAACAAUUGGAGGGCAAGUCUGGUGCCAGCAGCCGCGGUAAUUCCAGCUCCAAUAGCGUAUGCUAAAGUUGUUGCAGUUAAAAAGCUCGUAGUCGGAUCUCGGGUGAGGUGGUGUUAGGAACGGUGGUAGGGAAACCGGAAAUCGCGAUUUCACCGCUCAGCAAUGUUUGGGGAAUGGUCCGCCGGGAUGGCGAGUACCAGCCCCACUCACCCCUAGCGGUGGCGGGAAGGGCGGUCGAAAGGCCUCACCCGGUUCGUCACUAAUUAAUAGCUUCCAGAAGGGCGACCCCCCUAAUCUUUAUCGAUGUGCGGGUUAGGCGCGCACCUCUGGAUCGUUUACUUUGAAGAAAUUAGAGUGUUUAAAGCAGGCGCACAUAGAGCAACGGGUCGUCGCGUGUCAAAGCGCGGCGACCCAGCCUUGAAUACAUCAGCAUGGGAUAAUAGAAUAGGAUCUUUUUCUUAUUCUGUCGGUUUCCGAGGAAAAGGUAAUGAUCGAGAGGGGUAAUUGGGGGCAUUCAUAUUUAGUAGUCAGAGGUGAAAUUCUUGGAUUUACGAAAGAUGAACUUGUGCGAAAGCAUUUGCCAAGGGUGCUUUCUUUGAUCAAGAACGAAAGUUAGGGGAUCGAAGACGAUCAGAUACCGUCGUAGUCUUAACCUUAAACUAUGCCGACCAGGGAUUGGAAGACGUUACUAAACACCCCUCACAAGGGGGUGAAAACGACUCCUCCAGCACCUUGCGAGAAAUCACAAGUCUCUGGGUUCCGGGGGGAGUACGGUCGCAAGGCUGAAACUUAAAGGAAUUGACGGAAGGGCACCACCAGGGUGGAGCCUGCGGCUUAAUUUGACCCAACACGGGGAAACUUACCAGGUCCAGACAUAGUUAGGAUUGACAGAUUGAGAGCUCUUUCUUGAUUCUAUGGGUGGUGGUGCAUGGCCGUUCUUAGUUGGUGGAGUGAUCUGUCUGGUUAAUUCCGAUAACGAACGAGACCUCAACCUGCUAAAUAGUUAUCGGGAUGGUUUCGCAU